ensembl:lncRNA
ACACACACACACACACACACACACACACACACGCUACACAUAUAGACAUCUGUCUGCAUGGCUGCUGAGAGCCCCUUUGAUCUUUCAUCGUCACAUGACCUGUGUGUUGAAGUUUGUUUAUGAGCCAGGGUUCUGUUGUGUCUUUUGCACCAAAUGAGCAGGAGGUGAUACGGCCGGUGUGAUGUGUGAUGUGUGGGAGAGACAGUUGUUUGAUGUGUGUGUGUGUUAAGCUGUCAGAGACCACAUGCAUUGGUCCGCUGUAACUUACUGUGACAGCUGGCUCUGCAGGGAUUGAUUUGCGAGCUGACCAACACAGAGCCAGUCAGUCACUACUACAGCCAGUGACAUUACAUAUCUGUUUUAUAACUUUAUAUUGAGAGUGUACAAACACAUUACACACAGUGAGGAAAAUAAUAUCGAAGUCACACUAGUGAAGCACCAUCAAUGUCAAAAUAAGAUAGAUAUGGUGUGUGGACAGUCUCCAAAACAAGCUACCCUUCCCAGUUGGAGAGUGCGAACAUUUGGGCAACUUUAUGGUCCAUCCCACUGUCCUCUCCACCUCCCUUCAACCAGGGGGUUGAGAUGAUUGACACCAGCCUGCUAAGCACUGGAGCCACCAAGAUGGACGAGGUUACACCUCCUACAGCCCAGCCCCCACUCCUCACCCCUAACAACCCUACUCAUUCACAUGGACCACUAAUGGGGAGAGGAAGACCACAUGAUGGGCAGUGUGACCGUCUGUCUGGACAUGUAAAAAAUCCUACAGCAAGUGGUUGACUGGACAUGUCUCUGCUUCAGUGAGAGCUCAGACUGCCUGAUACCAUUGGCGAGCGCCGGAUGUUCACGCGAGAACAUGUCAUAAUACUGUGGACGUGGUCUACCACACAAAUCGCAACAAAACACAAACGCAUGGGAAUGCUCCAAAGAUAGAUGAGGGAUGAUUGUUUAUGAAUAGUCCAGGCAGUGUAAUGUCAUGUCAUGCCCUUCGUGUCUAGAAGGAACAUGGAUUACCUGUGAGAAACACUUGGACAAACUAUCCAAAACCUGUACAUCUUGUGCCACUUAAUAGGAAAGAACCCACAAGAUAGUAGUCAGAGAGAGGGGAUCCAAAGCGCUGUGAAUAACUGACCUCAUAACAGGCCUCUCUAUUGAGUUCACCUCCAGCUUUCUCCAGCGAGACUUUCCGUGCAUUUACUGCAAUCCAUUAUACACCCCAAACACAGACGUGUGGCCGGAUGACAACACGCAUCCAGACCUCCGGUCUUCAUCGUCCUGACGACAGAGUACCGGUGAUUAUAAAUCUGCAUGAUUGGGCCUUUCCCUUGGCCAAUUAGAUGAGGUGAAAUAUGGGAGGUCACGCCUGCUGUGGAGGCAGCAUGCAACCAGCGCUCUGUUUACUUAAAUGUCCCUUAUCAGCCCCCAUCAGAGGACCUGGGACACAAAGAGAAGGGGCCCAGAGUGUGUCCCUUUGUUCACAGAAAUGUGCCCUUUCUACAAGAUUUCCUCCCUUGCGUUUUGUGGCAUUCCUUUAGCAAUGGACAUCGACAUUGUUAAGAUAAAUAGAACAGUUGGAUAAUGGAUGAAGAUAUUCUAAACUUUUUAAAUUUGUUAUAGUUCAUCAGAUAUUGACUGAAUUAUAGUUCAGGGAUUCUGGUGGGAAUUCAGGUAUUCAAUAUAUUGUCAAAUGGCACUUUUGGGGGGG